rnacentral:lncRNA from 1 species
UAUCUGGAUAAAAAUAAGUUAGUUGGCCAUUCAAAUUCAAAAGAAAGUUUGAAUUUGAAUGAGCAACCAACUAAUCCAUGCGCCAUGGUCUUAUCUUGUGCGCCCCAUAUUUUACACGAGAAAAUAUUUUUUGUGUAAACUCUCCAUGCACAAAUCAACUCACGCCCCUUUUCUUCUCAUGCACAAGUGGAUAGGGAUGAGUUGGUUUUGCAUUUGAAUUUAAAUUUGAUUUGAAAUCAAAUGUGCAACCACUUAUCUUUAUCCUCUCAUGCGGAUAAGACACGUUCGAUGUUGUUUUAAAAAGAGGAGAAAGGUGGGAUGUAUGUAGAAAUUUUAAGAAAGAAACUUUGGGGUGUGAGGAAAGUUUGUGCGCAAGGUGAAGGUCCAAAACCUUCCGAGAGGAAAAGAAAGAAAAGAAAAAAAAUUGAGCGCAGGGUUUCUAGUGUGUACCUUAGGGUUUCUACCUAGGGUUUGGGAAGUGAGAUUGGUGUGCCACGAGUGUCGUGAGUCCAUCAAAUUUUAGGGAGAGAUCCAUCAGCCUCUCAAGCAAUCGUGUAAAUGAUCCAGAGCAUCUGAGGAGUCGGCACACAUUGAUCGAAGGAGUUUGAUCAACAUCUGCCAUCAAAAGGGUGAAAUCACAAACUAGCAUUCGUGAUGAGCUGAUCAGACGGGAGCUUCGUGUGGAAGAUCCAUAGAGGCCAGACAUUUAUGUGGCUAUGACGUGAUGAUCAGAGCCC